rfam:Operophtera brumata OBRT01_Sc02628, whole genome shotgun sequence.
CACAAGGCCCUCUUCAGGGCCACUAAUCUAUAUACCUCAAGCUGG